rnacentral:rRNA from 1 species
AGAGUUUGAUCCUGGCUCAGGAUGAACGCUAGCGGCAGGCUUAACACAUGCAAGUCGAGGGGCAGCAUAAUGGAUAGCAAUAUCUAUGGUGGCGACCGGCGCACGGGUGCGUAACGCGUAUGCAACCUACCUUUAACAGGGGGAUAACACUGAGAAAUUGGUACUAAUACCCCAUAAUAUCAUAGAAGGCAUCUUUUAUGGUUGAAAAUUCCGAUGGUUAGAGAUGGGCAUGCGUUGUAUUAGCUAGUUGGUGAGGUAACGGCUCACCAAGGCGACGAUACAUAGGGGGACUGAGAGGUUAACCCCCCACACUGGUACUGAGACACGGACCAGACUCCUACGGGAGGCAGCAGUGAGGAAUAUUGGUCAAUGGACGCAAGUCUGAACCAGCCAUGCCGCGUGCAGGAUGACGGCUCUAUGAGUUGUAAACUGCUUUUGUACUAGGGUAAACUCACCUACGUGUAGGUGACUGAAAGUAUCGUACGAAUAAGGAUCGGCUAACUCCGUGCCAGCAGCCGCGGUAAUACGGAGGAUUCAAGCGUUAUCCGGAUUUAUUGGGUUUAAAGGGUGCGUAGGCGGUUUGAUAAGUUAGAGGUGAAAUCCCGGGGCUUAACUCCGGAACUGCCUCUAAUACUGUUGGACUAGAGAGUAGUUGCGGUAGGCGGAAUGUAUGGUGUAGCGGUGAAAUGCUUAGAGAUCAUACAGAACACCGAUUGCGAAGGCAGCUUACCAAACUAUAUCUGACGUUGAGGCACGAAAGCGUGGGGAGCAAACAGGAUUAGAUACCCUGGUAGUCCACGCAGUAAACGAUGAUAACUCGUUGUCGGCGAUACACAGUCGGUGACUAAGCGAAAGCGAUAAGUUAUCCACCUGGGGAGUACGUUCGCAAGAAUGAAACUCAAAGGAAUUGACGGGGGCCCGCACAAGCGGAGGAACAUGUG